AAUCUUAAUUCUAAUAGAAUACUAAAAAUGCUCUAAUUAGACCAUAAUAAUGGUAAGCAAGCUUAAUAAAAUUCAAAAAAACCUCAAAGAAAUUUCAAACAAACAAUAAGAAUUCUUAAAGAAAUAUUAGAAGGAUCACAAAUAUCACUCAAAUACAUCUCAAUUCAAUCUUAAUUUAAUUUUAGUUAAAAUCCUAUUGAACUUCAUUCAAACUUUAGGCCAAAACUAAUAAAAAAUUAAAUCCUAAUAAAAUCCUAAAUCCUAAAUAAAACCCUAAACAAACCUUAAACCAAAUCCCAAUCAAAUCUUAAAUCAAAUCCUAAAUCCUAAAUCAAAUUCUAACUAAAUCCUAAUCCAAAUCUUAAAUCCUAAAUCAAACCCUAACCAAACCCUAAUCCAAAUCCUAACCAAACCCUAAUCCAAAUCCUAACCAAAUCCUAAAUCCUAAACCAAAUCCUAACUAAAUCCUAAAUCCUAAAUCAAAUCCUAAUCAAAUCCUAAUUCAAAUCCUAAAUCCUAAACCAAAUCCUAACUAAAUCCUAAAUCCUAAACCAAAUCCUAAAUACUAAAUCAAACCCUAAUCCAAACCCUAAACCAAAUCCUAGUAAUUCCUAUAACAGAUUUAAACCUCAAUAACUAAUGAAUAAAUCAUCGAUCUUAAUUCAAAUUUUGCAUACUUUUAAAAAAAUAAAUUAAAAACAAGCACAAAAAUAUUGAAAAGGAUCACAGUUAUCAAAUUGAUGAUAUCUUCAAAAAUGUGCUCUGGUAUUGGCCGGCCUCCUUUUCUAAUCUUGAUGCCAAUCUUCUAGAGCCAAUAUCUCUCCUUUGCACCAUUCGAUUGAUUUCAAAAUUCUCAUGCACAUAGAAAAAUAAGUCUAAUAUUCUCUCACAUAAGUUUCACUCCAAUCCA
rnacentral:lncRNA from 1 species